UAACCGUCCUGUUACUUAUGUAUGUACAUAUUUCCGUCUGCAAGAAUUUGUCGUAGAUUAGCAACUAACAGUAAUGCAGUUACAAAUUUAUAUGAUGCUAAAAAUUUUCACAAAACCAGGACAGGGUGUUUUUACAACUUACACACCAAAAAUUUACUUGGAUUCCACAAUUUCUCCAAUAAUUUCAAUAGCUUCAAUUUUAGUUAGUGCCCCCUACAUAAAAUAAAUAGCACAUUCUUAUCUUUUCUAUCGAGAAAUAUCUACAUGCAAAACAUACCACUGGCAAAUCCACAGCAGCCCGGGCGGGUAGUUUUCCGCGAAGACUAAAAUAAAAUAAAUCCUAUUUGC